GCCUCUGUAGCUCAGUUGGUAGAGCAUGUGACUGAAAAUCACAGUGUCGUUGGUUCGAUUCCGACCGGAGGCACCA
rnacentral:tRNA from 1 species